GGGGUCUUGGCACAGUGGUAGCGCGCAUGCUUCGCAUUUAUUGCAACUGCAUGAGGUCGUGAGUUCAAUCCUCACAGUCUCCA
rnacentral:tRNA from 1 species